rnacentral:rRNA from 1 species
CAGCAGCCGCGGUAAUACGAAGGGGGCUAGCGUUGUUCGGAUUUACUGGGCGUAAAGGGUGCGUAGGCGGACUGAUAAGUCAGGGGUGAAAUCCCAAGGCUCAACCUUGGAACUGCCUUUGAUACUGUUAGUCUUGAGUUCGAGAGAGGUGAGUGGAACUGCGAGUGUAGAGGUGAAAUUCGUAGAUAUUCGCAAGAACACCAGUGGCGAAGGCGGCUCACUGGCUCGAAACUGACGCUGAGGCACGAAAGCGUGGGGAGCAAACAGGAUUAGAUACCCCGGUAGUCCCUGUCUCUUAUAC